rnacentral:rRNA from 1 species
UACGGGGGGGGCAAGCGUUGUUCGGAAUUACUGGGCGUAAAGGGCUCGUAGGUGGCCAACUAAGUCAGACGUGAAAUCCCUCGGCUUAACCGGGGAACUGCGUCUGAUACUGGAUGGCUUGAGUGUGGGAGAGGGAUGCGGAAUUCCAGGUGUAGCGGUGAAAUGCGUAGAUAUCUGGAGGAACACCGAUGGCGAAGGCGGCAUCCUGGACCAUUACUGACACUGAAUAGCGAAAGCCAGGGGAGCAAACGGG